GACGAACGCUGGCGGCGUGCUUAACACAUGCAAGUCGAACGGAUCAGCGGAGCUUGCUCUGCUGGUUAGUGGCGAACGGGUGAGUAACACGUGAGCAAUCUGCCCCUGACUCUGGGAUAACUGCGGGAAACUGUAGCUAAUACCGGAUACGACAACCGACGCAUCGUCUGGUUGUAGGAAAGUAAUUUUGGUCAGGGAUGAGCUCGCGGCCUAUCAGCUUGUUGGUGAGGUAAUGGCUCACCAAGGCGACGACGGUAGCCGGCCUGAGAGGGUGACCGGCCACACUGGGACUGAGACACGGCCCAGACUCCUACGGGAGGCAGCAGGUGGGGAAUAUUGCACAAGUGGGCGGAAGCCUGAUGCAGCAACGCCGCGUGGAGGGACGACGG
rnacentral:rRNA from 1 species